rnacentral:rRNA from 1 species
UACGAAGGGGGCUAGCGUUGUUCGGAAUUACUGGGCGUAAAGCGUGCGCAGGCGGUUCGUUGUGUCGGCGGUGAAAGCCCCGGGCUUAACCUGGGAAUGGCCGUUGAAACUGGCGAACUGGAGUGUGGCAGAGGGGGGUGGAAUUCCCAGUGUAGAGGUGAAAUUCGUAGAUAUUGGGAAGAACACCGGUGGCGAAGGCGGCUCACUGGCUCGUAACUGACGCUCAUGCACGACAGCGUGGGGAUCAAACAGG